GUCGUUAUCCAUUGCACCGAAACCUUUGCGAUACGUUGCCCAAUCCCUAUUGAAAUCCUCAUUUCGCCCAACUCGUUGUUGUAUUACAAUCCAUCCAGGUCCAGCUAACUGACUAUCGCAUAACACAUCAAAUAAACCUACGCCAGAAACAUUGAGUUUAUGAACAUCUGAAUCUCCAAAUGGGAUGCAAGAUGUGGGACUUAACUUAUCAAGUUCAGAUUGACAUAACUGAUUUUCUUUCACUUUAUCUAUUAGCUUAGUUUGACUAUCUUUUAGUUGCAAUUCAAUUCUUUUCUG